rnacentral:rRNA from 1 species
UGGGGAAUAUUGCACAAUGGGCGCAAGCCUGAUGCAGCCAUGCCGCGUGUGUGAAGAAGGUCUUCGGAUUGUAAAGCACUUUAAGUUGGGAGGAAGGGCAUUAACCUAAUACGUUAGUGUUUUGACGUUACCGACAGAAUAAGCACCGGCUAACUCUGUGCCAGCAGCCGCGGUAAUACAGAGGGUGCAAGCGUUAAUCGGAAUUACUGGGCGUAAAGCGCGCGUAGGUGGUUUGUUAAGUUGGAUGUGAAAUCCCCGGGCUCAACCUGGGAACUGCAUUCAAAACUGACUGACUAGAGUAUGGUAGAGGGUGGUGGAAUUUCCUGUGUAGCGGUGAAAUGCGUAGAUAUAGGAAGGAACACCAGUGGCGAAGGCGGCCCCCUGGACAAAGACUGACGCUCAGGUGCGAAAGCGUGGGGAGCAAACA